rnacentral:rRNA from 1 species
GACUGCGGAGGACAUU